rnacentral:misc_RNA from 1 species
CCAAUAGCGUAUAUUAAAGUUGUUGCAGUUAAAAAGCUCGUAGUUGAAUUUCGGGAUUAGUACGUUGGUCGUGCCUUGGUACGUACUGGUGUAACUGAUUCCUCCCUUCUGACGAACCGUUAUGCCAUUAAUUUGGUGUGGCGGGAAAUCAGAACUGUUACUUUGAAAAAAUUAGAGUGUUUAAAGCAGGCUCGCGCUUGAAUACAUUAGCAUGGAAUAAUGAAAUAGGACGUUAAUCCUAUUUUGUUGGUUUAUAGGAUCGACGUAAUGAUUAAUAGGGAUAGUUGGGGGCAUUAGUAUUCAAUUGUCAGAGGUGAAAUUCUUGGAUUUAUUGAAGACUAACUACUGCGAAAGCAUUUGCCAAGGAUGUUUUCAUUAAUCAAGAACGAAAGUUAGGGGAGCGAAGACGAUCAGAUACCGUCGUAGUCUUAACCAUAAACUAUGCCGACUAGGGAUCGGAUGAUGUUAAUUUUUUAAUGACUCAUUCGGCGCCUUACG